CCUACGGGAGGCAGCAGUGAGGAAUAUUGGUCAAUGGGCGCGAGCCUGAACCAGCCAAGUCGCGUGAGGGAAGACGGUCCUAUGGAUUGUAAACCUCUUUUAUCGGGGAGCAAAACACGCCACGCGUGGCUUUCCGCAAGUACCCUAAGAAAAAGCAUCGGCUAACUCCGUGCCAGCAGCCGCGGUAAUACGGAGGAUGCGAGCGUUAUCCGGAUUUAUUGGGUUUAAAGGGUGCGCAGGCGGAAGAUCAAGUCAGCGGGAAAAUUGAGAGGCUCAACCUCUUCGAGCCGUUGAAACUGGUUGUCUUGAGUGAGUGAGAAGUAGGCGGAAUGCGUGGUGUAGCGGUGAAAUGCAUAGAUAUCACGCAGAACUCCGAUUGCGAAGGCAGCAUACCGGAGCGCAACUGACGCUCAUGCACGAAAGUGUGGGUAUCGAACAGGAUUAGAUACCCGGGUAGUC
rnacentral:rRNA from 1 species